rnacentral:RNase_P_RNA from 1 species
CGAGUAGGUCAGAUGAUCGCGGGCACAGAUAACUGUGAACGAGGAAAGUCCGAGCUCCGUAGAGCAGGGUGCUGGGUAAUACCCAGUAGAGGUGACUCUCAGGAAAGUGCAACAGAAAUAGACCGCCCAACAUUUAAUCUAAGUAUUCUAAUAAUUUACAUUAUAUUAUAGUACUUAGAUUGAGUGUUGGGUAAGGAUGGAAAGGUGAGGUAAGAGCUCACCAGCAACUAGGCGACUAGUUGGCUCUGUAAACCCCACCCGGAGCAAGACCAAGUAGGGAGAUUUAGUGCGGCUGCUCGUCGCGUCCCGUGGUAGGUUGCUUGAGUCUAUUGGUAACAAUAGACCUAGACAGAUGAUCAUCCAAGACAGAACUCGGCUUAUAGAUCGACUCGCUUA